UGGGGAAUCUUCCGCAAUGGACGAAAGUCUGACGGAGCAACGCCGCGUGAGUGAUGACGGUCUUCGGAUUGUAAAGCUCUGUUAAUCGGGACGAAUGGUUUGUGUGCAAAUAGUGCAUAGACAUGACGGUACCGGAAUAGAAAGCCACGGCUAACUACGUGCCAGCAGCCGCGGUAAUACGUAGGUGGCAAGCGUUGUCCGGAAUUAUUGGGCGUAAAGCGCGCGCAGGCGGACUAGCCAGUCAGUCUUAAAAGUUCGGGGCUUAACCCCGUGAUGGGAUUGAAACUACUAGUCUAGAGUAUCGGAGAGGAAAGUGGAAUUCCUAGUGUAGCGGUGAAAUGCGUAGAUAUUAGGAAGAACACUAGUGGCGAAGGCGACUUUCUGGACGAACACUGACGCUGAGGCGCGAAAGCCAGGGGAGCGAACGGG
rnacentral:rRNA from 1 species